rnacentral:tRNA from 1 species
AAUAGCUCAGUCGGUAGAGCAAUCGGCUGUUAACCGAUCGGUCGUAGGUUCGAGUCCUACUU